rnacentral:lncRNA from 1 species
AAAGCUUAACUUUUUAUGUUGAUCAGUUUCUAAUGCGAACCACAAAUUUAGGCCCUAAUUAUGCAACCAAUGCUAAAAUCAAGUAUCUUACGUUUUCUUGGGAAAAAAAAAAUGCCCACGAGAGUUUCCAAGAAACAAACUACAAUAGUGCAAAGAUGCACAUUCCGCGGCAUGGCUAUAAAAACAGCAAAGCGCAGAGAGGAGAGGCAGAAAAUACUCAAACAUAGAACUAGCAAUUUCUCAAGAGCCAUAAGCUUCAGAUAUCAAGAAAAAGCAUUUUUAGGAGCUCCAUCCAAUGUAGGGUGAACUUGGAACUAAGGUAGUCAUAUCAAUUGGACACUACAGCGCAUUUGGUGCAGCUAAUAUUUUGCAACUCAGUAAAACUGACUAGGCCAUUUUCCAGCUAAUUAGAGUGCUUCUAAAGCCUUUGAUGUGAACUGAAUAGAUGAAUAAUCUGUAAUUCUUCAUAAUAUAUAAGAAGGUGACUGUUACGGAACUGUUGUGGUAGCUCUCUGAGUUACCAUGUUUCUCUCAUUUGGAUUGCUGCAAUGCCUCAAUGAAGGCAUCCUUGAGAAGAGAAUUUGAAGCUGCUAUUCUUUGCGAGGUGAUAUCAAAAUCAGCACCAGACCUGCAGCAAAAGCAACAUGCAAUACUCAUAAAUAGCCUCUUAUCAUAUAUAUAAGUUAAAGCAAUUAUAAAAUUCAGUGCUAUUUCUACGGAUGCGACAUUUAGAGACUUGGCAUGUUUCAUUUUGGAACGACAUUCUGAACUCCAGAACUACUGGAUGAGCAGCAUGCAGAUCCAAUUCUUUUAAUAGACCAGGAAGAUGUCAGAAGUUCAGAGGACUUACGGAUCAAACAGAACACCUCCAGCUUCUUUAACAAUGAGAGCACCACCUGCCACAUCCCAAGGGCCUCCAUAUCCAAGUUCAUAAAAGAGAUCAAGCCUUCCACAUGCAAUACCACAGAGAUUUAAAGCACAGGAGCCACUCAUCCGAAGAGACCUCACCUGAUGUAUUGAGAAACAAGUAAUAUUAAUUAUGCAAUUUAAAAACUAUAUUUAAACUCCUGAUGGGCCCCAUCCAGAGGCAGCCAUGGUUUGGUUUGACCAGGCUGGGCGGGUCAUAUGGGUGUUGCAGCAGAACUCUAUCAUCUCAUGAAACCUAAUCCAAUUUACUACUACAAUCCUACAUCUGACGAUAGUCUUACGAAAGAGUUGUUACUACUAGUUCAUCUGUUAGUGGGUCAAGAUUCACCCGAGUCAAACUGCAAAGUGUGGUGGUUAGGACUGUUGGGAAUAAGGCAAUCCAUGUAAAACUGUUCUCCCUACUUCUUUUACAGUUGCAGUUCUUCUUCCGCAACAAUUAUUACUUGGUUUGACCUUCAAUUCUCCCCAAGCAUUAGGCAACGAUCAUUAUAUAUAUGUUGAGAAAAUGUGCAAGUCUUCUUAAAAAAAAAAAGAGGUGUGCAAAUACAGAGGGAAAUGUUGAGAAAAAAAAGGUUUCCUCAUGCAAAUCUCAUUCUGCUCUGCAGAAAGAAGCAUAAGUUCUGUGUUUUGCCCAGUGUUUUUCCAAGUCCUACAAGAAUUUCAUUUCCAGGUGGUUACCUAAAUCUCUAACCAAAAGGAGUCUUAAUUCCAUUCCCAAUCUUAGAGUGAUUCGGUGCGGAAGAAAAAUAAAAUAAAAUAAACGUUACCAUAAUCUGAAUGAAGAAGGUUAUUCUAAAACGACUAAAAAUUGGUAGUAUUUCCUUUUCCAACACGGUCACAGAAAUUGGCGCUCCAUAGUCUAUAUAUAAGAGGCCAUCCAGCCCUCUUCGACAUUAAGAUUACAGCUAUCGAGCCCCCUGCACUUUAGAAGUUUUCAUUCAGGUAAUCUCUCUAUUCUUCGAAUCUUCAAUCUUCAUGCGCCUUGCCUUGCUUCCCAGUUUGGAUUUUAUCAAUUCUACGAGAAGCCUCAUUAGUAUAAUGUAGCAGGAAGUUGUUUAUAGUACGAUUGUAGUUGAAGUUAGAGAUAUUAAGGGUUGAAAAAAAAAGGGCAGUUUGUUGAAACAUAAAUCGAAGUAUACUUGUUGAAGUACAUAUAAUAUGAAUGACUUCUGAUGAUCUUUGACAGGUGCCCCAUCUCCAACAAAACUUGGAACCAUGUUUCCUUUUCAAUUGCAAACCCCUCACCAAACUACCUAACUACUCUUGCCCCACCAGUCUCCUAUAUUAAGACUCCCUCUUCCAAGUCUUUCCCUUCAAUCUUCCCUUCUCUCCAACGCAAGCACUAGUUAUAUUUCUCGCACCAAUUAUCUUUCUGAUCAACAGGCUAAUUGACAAAGAUGGGUGCAACAAUGAGAUGCAUGGUGAUUCUUGGCGUCCUGUUUGCUCUGUUUAUGUCGUCCACUUCUGCGCAGUCAUGUUCAAAGUACAACUUUGCUAGCAAUAAAGUUUUCAGUGCCUGCAGCGAUCUUCCAUAUUUGAACUCCUAUCUUCAUUGGACGUACAGCCCAUCUUCCCAGAGUCUUGAGAUCGCGUUUAGGCGCUUGGGAACAUCAUCAUCAAGAUGGGUUUCUUGGGCUAUUAAUCCAACUUCUCAAGGGAUGGUGGGAUCACAAGCACUCGUGGCUUUCCAGAAAUCUGAUGGAACCAUGAGAGCCUACACUUCGCCUAUAAAAAGUUACCAGACGGGAUUACAAGAAGGAGAUUUGAGCUUCCCAGUUUCGGAUUUAUCUGCUACUUAUUCGAAUAACGAGAUGAUCGUUUAUGCUACCUUGAAGCUGCAGAAUUCCAGCUCUACUCUGAACCAGGUGUGGCAAGAAGGUCCACUCUCAAACGACAGCCCUGGAAUGCAUCCCACCACUGGUCCUAAUGUCCAAUCCAUGGGCACUCUCAACCUACUUUCUGGAGAAUCUAAGACCACAGCAGGAGCCUCAAGUUCAAAACUCAAGGCUAAGAAUGCAAGUCUUUGAAUCGUUUUUCCCUUUCUUUCUUGAGUUCGUGAUUAUAUAUCUUUACUUUCCCCCCAAAAAAAAAAUAUAAAGACUUGUAGAUAGAUAGACAUUCCUUGAAUCUAUUUAACAUGUUAUUUGUAAAGAAAAAGUUAAUCAUGAUAUUGCUGACCCAAUCCGCUUUUUGAUAUGUUUCAGAUUCAUGGGGUGCUGAACGCGGUGAGUUGGGGAAUUCUGAUGCCUCUGGGGGCUAUAAUCGCAAGAUACGUUAAGGAAUUUCCUUUGGCGGACCCUGCUUGGUUUUACCUUCAUGUUACCUGCCAAUUAUCGGCCUUCAUCCUUGGCGUGGCCGGAUUUGGUACUGGGCUCCGCCUGGGGAGCCAGUCUCCAGGAAUCACGUACGCAGUCCACAGGGGCCUUGGCAUUGCUCUCUUUACCCUGGCAUUGGUUCAGGCGAGUGCUUUGCUUAUAAGGCCGAAGAAGGAUCACAAGUGGAGAAGCUACUGGAAUUGCUACCACUACCUGGUCGGAUACGGAAUUCUCGGCAUCAGCAUCGCCAACAUUUUCAAAGGAUUGGAUAUCCUGAGCCCGGAGAAGAAAUGGAAAAGAGCAUACAUUGGCAUCUUGGUGACCCUGGCAUCUCUUGCCCUUCUCUUGGAAGUAAUUGUAUGGUUCCUGAAGAGGAGCAAGAGAUCUGCAGGUGCUGACAAGUUGAAGUCGUCCCACGGCACCAAUGGGACAAAUGGACUAAAUGGCUAUGGAGGAAGGAAGCCUGAGACAGUCUAGUUUACCAACUUGAGAUUUAUUCCUCCCUAUACAACUCUUUUCAUUUAGUGUUUUCCUUUUCGGUCGUACCUAUUUAUGCACCCGCAUGUAUAUUUUCCAACUCGACGGCAGAGGUUUUAAGAUGAGUUUAUGAUUUAGUAGUAGUAGAAUUUUAGAACUCCACGCCGAUAUGUAGGUACUAUUGUUUCUUGAAUGGCAUCUGCGGAUUUAUUAUUUUUUUUUCCCAUGAUUAAAAUCUCUUAUCUAUAUGUGUCUUUUUUCCAUAGUCUUAUUUCUGAUCAAUAGGUGUCUGUACUCUGUAGAAAAAGCAAUUGGUGUAUGAUGACACACAUCAUUAUUUGCAGAGACCUAGAAAUAUUGACAGACAGACAGCAAAUACUUUAUUUGUCCCAGUCAAUUCGUCCACUUCCUGCAACAUGUGCUGAUAUCAAUAAUUUAAUUAUCAUAUUCUCAACCAUCCAUGAAAAAAAGCUAACUUUUUAUGUUGAUUACUUUGCCCUAAUUAUGCAACCAAUGCUAAAAUCAAGUAUCUUACGUUUUCUUGGAAAAAAAAAAUGCCCACAAGAGUUUCCAAGAAACAAACUACAGUAGCGCAAAGAUGCACAUUCCGCGGCAUGGCUAUAAAAACAGCAAAGCGCAGAGAGGAGAGGCAGAAAAUACUCAAACAUAGAACUAGCAAUUUCUUAAGAGCCAUAAGCUUCAGAUAUCAAGAAAAAGCAUUUUUAGGAGCUCCAUCCAAUGUAGGGUGAACUUGGAACUAAGGUAGUCAUAUCAAUUGGACACUACAGCGCAUUUGGUGCAGCUAAUAUUUUGCAACUCAGUAAAACUGACUAGGCCAUUUUCCAGCUAAUUAGAGUGCCUCUAAAGCCUUUGACGUGAACUGAAUAGAUGAAUAAUCUGUAAUUCUUCAUAAUAUAUAAGAAGGUGACUGUUACGGAACUGUUGUGGUAGCUCUCUGAGUUACCACGUUUCUCUCAUUUGGAUUGCUGCAAUGCCUCAAUGAAGGCAUCCUUGAGAAGAGGAUUUGAAGCUGCUAUUCUUUGCGAGGUGAUAUCAAAAUCAGCACCAGACCUGCGGCAAAAGCAACAUGCAAUACUCAUAAAUAUCCUCUUAUCAUAUAUAUAAGUUAAAGCAAUUAUAAAAUUCAGUGCUAUAUCUACAGAUGCGACAUUU